rnacentral:rRNA from 1 species
UACGAAGGGUGCAAGCGUUAAUCGGAAUUACUGGGCGUAAAGCGUGCGUAGGCGGUUUUGUUAAGUCUGCUGUGAAAUCCCCGGGCUCAACCUGGGAAUGGCAGUGGAUACUGGCAGCUAGAGUGUGAUAGAGGAUGGUGGAAUUCCCGGUGUAGCGGUGAAAUGCGUAGAGAUCGGGAGGAACACAGUGGCGAAGGCGGCCAUCUGGAUCAACACUGACGCUGAGGCACGAAAGCGUGGGGAGCAAACAGGG